GGGAGUGUGGCUCAGUGGUUAGAGCGUCUGGCUUUUCAUGCAAAAAGUCCUAGCUUCAGUCCCCAACCUCUCACA